GACGAACGCUGGCGGCGUGCCUAAUACAUGCAAGUCGAGCGCAGGAAACUGACGGAACUCUUCGGAGGGAAGGCAGUGGAAUGAGCGGCGGACGGGUGAGUAACACGUAAGGAACCUGCCUCAAGGAUUGGGAUAACUCCGAGAAAUCGGAGCUAAUACCGGAUAGUUCAACGGACCGCAUGGUCCGCUGAUGAAAGGCGCUUCGGCGUCACCUUGAGAUGGCCUUGCGGUGCAUUAGCUAGUUGGUGGGGUAACGGCCCACCAAGGCGACGAUGAAAAGCCGACCUGGGAGGGUGAUCGGCCACACUGGGACUGCGACACGGCCCAGACUCCUAGGGGAGGCAGCAGCAGGGAAUCUUCCACAAUGGAGGAAAGUCUGAUGGAGCAACGCCGCGUGAGUGAUGAAGGUUUUCGGAUCGUAAAACUCUGUUGUAAGGGAAGAACACGUACGAGAGGAAAUGCUCGUACCUUGACGGUACCUUACGAGAAAGCCACGGCUAACUACGUGCCAGCAGCCGCCGUAAAAC
rnacentral:rRNA from 1 species